AGGGCGAGUGGCGCGCGCCGACUGACGGGAUCGAUGCGUUUCGCUUCACCUUCGGCGCCAGCAAUUACAAGCACAACGAACUCGGCCUCGACGCCAACGGCGUCGACACCUUGAAAAACAUCAUCAGGAACCGCGAACUGGAAGGCCGCUUCGAGUUCGACCAUGCGGCGGUCGCGACCGGCAUCGGCGCACUGACCGGAACAUGGGGCGCGCAGUUCGGCCAUCGCGAACUCGGCACCGACGGCCGUC
rnacentral:misc_RNA from 1 species